ACAAUAUUAACAAACAGAGUUUUAGGUCCUCUGGCGGGCACUGACCAGCAGAAGCCGGUGGUCCGAGGACGGGCCCGCCAAAGCAACAAAGGUAUAAUAAACAAAGGGUGGGAGGUAUACCCCGAAGGGCAACGUCUCUUUAAUGAUCCUUCCGCAGGUUCACCUACGGAAACCUUGUUACGACUUUUACUUCCUCUAAAUGACCAAGA
rnacentral:misc_RNA from 1 species